rnacentral:rRNA from 1 species
AUACGGAAGGUCCGGGCGUUAUCCGGAUUUAUUGGGUUUAAAGGGAGCGAAGGCGGAGAUGCAAGCGUGACGUCAAAUUUCGGGGCUCAACCCCGUCUCGCGGCGCGAACUGCGUCCCUUGGUUGCGGGAAGGGGAGGCGGAACUCGUGGUGUAGCGGGGAAAUGCAUAGAUAUCACUAAGAACUCCGAUCGCGGAGGCAGCCUUCCGGCCCGUCAACGGAGCUCAUGCUCGAAGGUGCGGGUAUCAAACAGGAUAAGAUACCCUGGUACUCCGCGCAGUAAACGAUGGACACCCGCGGUUUGGCCUGUAUGGCUGAGCCGUCAAGCUAAAGCAUUAAGUGUCCCACCUGGGGAGUACGCCGGCAACGGUGAAACUCAAAGGAAUUGACGGGG